GGGCAGGUUCUGUGAGAUAAGACAAAUCAAAGGGAGGUGUGUACGGUGCCAGCGACUGCUUCAGAGAAUCUUCCUCCAAAGGAGGGUCACCACCAUACAGGAAGUGUUCAGGCUCUCUCAGUAAAUCUUCAUCGAUAUUCUGGCCCAUUACAUCAUAUUCAAAAUCACCCCACGAGGCUUCAGAUGAGCAGAUAUCUUGCUUCCCUAGGUCCCCAUCAACUGGCGUUUCCGGAUGGCCUUCGGAUAAUGUCAGUUUACUCAUGUCAUCUAUUGUUCCCGUGGAUGUGUUGAGACCUGAGGCAUCGCUGAAACUGUGGUCAAAGGCAGCUUCGCUUAUAUCCAGACAAGUGUCUGAGGCUAGCAAAGCAUCAGGAACCAAGGCAGGAUUCUCUGUGGAUAAAUGUGGAUCACCAUCAAACAAAGCUCUUGCACCAGGCUGACUUUCAGGAGAAAAGCUGUCUGAUAUCCAAGAACCGUCACCUUCUGGAGUUGGCUCUUGUUCUGGAAGACGGAAAGUCCAAGAUCAAGAUCCUGACAUACUCGCUGUCUGAUGAGCACCUGCCUCCUGAUUCAUAGGCUGCCAUCUUUUUGCUGUGUCCUCACGUGACAGAAAAGGUCUGCAGGCUCACUGACACUCUCUGAAGAUGGCGGGUUCCUAAAAAGUCAUGAGAGUUGAGGGAUGCAUUUCAGUGUAUGCUCAGAGACAUCAUGGCUUUCAUCAUCUUCCUUCUUCUUCUGAGUAACCAACUCUAGGUGAGAAAUAAGAAAGGCUGCUGACUUUACCAUCUGAGGCCACACAUCUGCUGAAAUGGAGAUAAUUAACAUCACUAGAAACAGCAAGAUGACAAUAUAAUGUCUAAGUAGUGACAUGUUUUUGCACAUUUCCAGCCCCUUUAAAUAUCCACACACACAGGAAGCACAAAAGGAAGCACAGAGAUCCCUGGGAGAAAUGCCCGGCCGCCAUCUUGGGUCAUCGAUGAGCCUCGCCCUGUGCCUGGUCCCGCUUGUGAGGGAAGGACAUUAGAAAAUGAAUUGAUGUGUUCCUUAAAGGAUGGGCAGGAAAACAGAUCCUGUUGUGGAUAUUUAUUUGAACGGGAUUACAGAUUUGAAAUGAAGUCACAAAGUGAGCAUUACCAAUGAGAGGAAAACAGACGAGAAAAUCUUGAUGGCUUCACAAGACAUGCAACAAACAAAAUGGAAUACUGUGAUGACAUGAGGCAGCCAAGCUGGGGAGGAGAUAACCACGGGGCAGAGGGUCAGGAUUCUGGCCCUGCUGCCUAAACUGUGCGUUCAUAACCAAAUCAUUUCAUAUUUCUAACCCUCAAAACAAAGCUGUUGUAAUAUCUGAUCUCUACGGUUCCUUCUGGGCCCAACAUUCUCCAUAUAUCCAGCCACACUCAUUUUUAAUAUUUAGUUCCCAGAUCUGUACUGUGACCUUUCUACACUGUAGAAUAACAUUACUCAUUUUGUUCAAAGACCCUUCGUGUUGCUGCCUAAUAUGUAGCUGACUGUUUUUCCUAAGGAGUGUUCUGGCCCAGGGGAUCUGUGAACAGGCUGGGAAGCAUCUCAAGAUCUUUCCAGGGUUAUACUUACUAGCACACAGCAUGAUCAUUACGGAGUGAAUUAUCUAAUCAACAUCAUCCUCAGUGUCUUUGCCCAUACUGAAAUUCAUUUCCCACUUUUGUGCCCAUUCUCAAGACCUCAAAAUGUCAUUCCAUUAAUAUCACAGGAUUAACUUUUUUUUUUAACCUGGAAGAAUUCAAUGUUACAUGCAGCUAUGGGAAUUUAAUUACAUAUUUUGUUUUCCAGUGCAAAGAUGACUAAGUCCUUUAUCCCUCCCCUUUGUUUGAUUUUUUUUCCAGUAUAAAGUUAAAAUGCUUAGCCUUGUACUGAGGCUGUAUACAGCCACAGCCUCUCCCCAUCCCUCCAGCCUUAUCUGUCAUCACCAUCAACCCCUCCCAUGCACCUAAACAAAAUCUAACUUGUAAUUCCUUGAACAUGUCAGGCAUACAUUAUUCCUUCUGCCUGAGAAGCUCUUCCUUGUCUCUUAAAUCUAGAAUGAUGUAAAGUUUUGAAUAAGUUGACUAUCUUACUUCAUGCAAAGAAGGGACACAUAUGAGAUUCAUCAUCACAUGAGACAGCAAAUACUAAAAGUGUAAUUUGAUUAUAAGAGUUUAGAUAAAUAUAUGAAAUGCAAGAGCCACAGAGGGAAUGUUUAUGGGGCACGUUUGUAAGCCUGGGAUGUGAAGCAAAGGCAGGGAACCUCAUAGUAUCUUAUAUAAUAUACUUCAUUUCUCUAUCUCUAUCACAAUAUCCAACAAGCUUUUCACAGAAUUCAUGCAGUGCAAAUCCCCAAAGGUAACCUUUAUCCAUUUCAUGGUGAGUGCGCUUUAGAAUUUUGGCAAAUCAUACUGGUCACUUAUCUCAACUUUGAGAUGUGUUUGUCCUUGUAGUUAAUUGAAAGAAAUAGGGCACUCUUGUGAGCCACUUUAGGGUUC
ensembl:lncRNA PCA3 prostate cancer associated 3